AAAAAAUAAUCAGCUAGUAUAAUGAGAGACCGUUUCUUAAAAAAAUAAUCUCAAAAUAAGAAGAUCAUGUUUUUAUUUUUUUUAAUUUAUAUUUCCUUCAAUUCUUUUUGCUUGUCCUAUUUUUUUAUUGGUGACAGGAAUAAUAAAAUUAUGGAAGUGAUCCUCACAGGUGGUGCUCCAUCGCAGAAUUCUAAUACAGCUCUCGCAAUUAUGGCACCCUGUAAGUUUGCAACACAGACAAUUAUAGCUCAUCCUAUUAUGUUUAAUGUUUGUAUUAUAGUUUUGCAUAUAAAUGAAGAAGAACCUGUGAAAGACCGAUCAUAUGAAAACCUUGCUUAAGCUCAUUCAUUUCCUUCACCUGUUCAUUUUACACAAAAUACUCAAACCAUCACACUAUGAUCAAUAAUCUUGUGUCACAUUUUUUUAUUUCAAGUUACAUUAUAUUGAUGUUAAAUUUGGAGAGGAUAAUUGAUUGCAGUCAAAAUAGGAGGAGGAUUAGCCAUCAAGCUUAUAUGUUAAUCAACCGUUUUCAAAUUUUUUGCUUAAUGAUAAUUGUUUGAUAUCAUGAUGAAUUAGCAGACAGUUAGCAAUUGAAUAACAGAAUAAGAAGUUGUGUGCACCCUGCUGCAGACAAUUGAAGCUUGGCUCUCCAAGGUUAAGAACCAAGAGUUAAACCUACUAUAGCUGCUCUCUCUGAAAAAUCAUAAAAUAAAGAAAAA